rnacentral:rRNA from 1 species
AUUGAACGCUGGCGGCAGGCCUAACACAUGCAAGUCGAACGAGUGGCGGACGGGUGAGUAAUGUCUGGGAAACUGCCCGAUGGAGGGGGAUAACUACUGGAAACGGUAGAUAAUCCCGCAUACCAUCGGAUGUGCCCAGAUGGGAUUAGCUAGUCGGUGGGGUAACGGCUCACAUAGGCGACGCUCCCUAGCUGGUCUUAGAGGAUGAACGGCCACACUGGAACUGAGACACGGUCCAGACGCCUACGGGAGGCAGCAGUGGGGAAUAUUGCACAAUGGGCGCAAGCCUGAUGCAGCCAGGCCGCGUGUAUGAAGAAGGCCUUCGGGUUGUAAAGUUCUUUCAGCGAGGAGGCAUUACUCGCAGAAGAAGCACCGGCUAACUCCGUGCCAGCCGCCGCGGUAAUAC